rfam:Beta vulgaris subsp. vulgaris Bvchr8_un.sca015.con0014.1, whole genome shotgun sequence.
AUUCCAUGGUGAGGGUAUUCUCUUUCAUAUUCCUUAAACCGCCCGCAUGCUUCAUACAAACCUUUAUCCGAUUUGUGCAUGAAACCAUAGAUCUUUGCUCUUAACU